rnacentral:rRNA from 1 species
GCGCAGCAGUCGAGAAUUUUUCUCAAUGGGGGCAACCCUGAAGGAGCGACGCCGCGUGGAGGAUGAAGGCUUUCGGGUCGUAAACUCCUGUCAUUUGAGAACAAGUGGCCGAACAUAACUACUUCGGCCUUGAUAGUAUCAGAAGAGGAAGGGACGGCUAACUCUGUGCCAGCAGCCGCGGUAAUACAGAGGUCCCAAGCGUUGUUCGGAUUCAUUGGGCGUAAAGGGUGCGUAGGUGGCGCCGUCAGUGGGGUGUGAAAUUCCGGAGCUUAACUCCGAAACUGCAUUCCAUACUGCGGUGCUUGAGGACUGGAGAGGAGACUGGAAUUUACGGUGUAGCAGUGAAAUGCGUAGAGAUCGUAAGGAAGACCAGUGGCGAAGGCGGGUCUCUGGACAGUUCCUGACACUGAGGCACGAAGGCUAGGGGAGCGAACGGGAUUAGAUACCCGUGUAGU